UACGUAGGGGGCAAGCGUUGUCCGGAAUUAUUGGGCGUAAAGAGCUACGUAGGCGGUCUGUUGCGUUCCGCUGUGAAAACUCGGGGCUUAACCCCCGAGCCUGCAGGUGGAUACGGGCAGACUAGAGGUAGGUAGGGGGAGAAUGGAAUUCCCGGGUGUAGGCGGUGAAAAUCGCGCAGAGUAUCAAGGAUGGAACACCGAUGGCGAAGGCAGGGUCUCUGGGCAUUAACUGACGCUGAGGAGCGAAAGCAUGGGGAGCGAACAGGGA
rnacentral:rRNA from 1 species